UACGUAGGGCGCAAGCGUUGUCCGGAAUUAUUGGGCGUAAAGAGCUCGUAGGCGGUUUGUCGCGUCUGCCGUGAAAACCCGAGGCUUAACCUCGUGGCUUGCGGUGGAUACGGGCAGACUAGAGGUAGGUAGGGGAGAAUGGAAUUCCCGGUGUAGCGGUGAAAUGCGCAGAUAUCGGGAGGAACACCGGUGGCGAAGGCGGUUCUCUGGGCCUUACCUGACGCUGAG
rnacentral:rRNA from 1 species